UGGGUUGUGGAUCAGUGUUAGAGCACUUGCCUUGAAUGCAUGGGGCACUGGGUUCAAUCUCAGCACCACAU
rnacentral:tRNA from 1 species